rnacentral:rRNA from 1 species
AACGGCCAUGCCAUGCUGAAUAUACCGGUUCUCGUUAGAUCACCGAAGUCAAGUCAUCAUUGGGCGUGGUCAUUACUUGGGUGGGUGACCACCUGGGAACACCGCGUGCCGUU